UCUUUAGUUAAAGUUUCCUGAGCAUGUGUAAGAAUACAUGCAUCCGAACAAUAAAUGCUAGAAUUUCUAGCUUCCUUCUUACAAACAACACACUGCAUUGUGCUAGAAGUUGGAGCGGCGCCGUCGUGAUCUAUAGAAGCCGGUAGUGAUUGCAAGUUCGACUUCGUCUUUUCUUCCUCAGCUUUUUUCUUUAGACAAUUCGGACAAACCCAUUCUAUACCCUUCUCCUCCAUUUGUUGACCUAUCACAUAUUUAUAUAAAAUAAAUAUCGUAUACCACAAAUCUAAAACAUUUACCCAUGGCUUUGCUGACAUGUACACAUUUUCCAUGGAACCAGUCUUCGCAGACGUCGCAGCAUAUCAUAAAUCGAUUAUUAUGUGGCCGUUUACAGAUACACCAUAGUCGAUCUGGAUCAUCCUCUGAAUCUGAAUUGUCCUCCUCAUCGUCUUCAUCGUCUUCUUCUUCUACGUUCAUUACUUGCCCCGUUUUAAAUUCGUCCUUGUUAUGUUGUACUGGUUGCUGAACUGGUACCUGACUGUAUCCAUGUUAAAACAAUUUUUAAUAAAUUUUAAUCUAGAAUAGAAACAGUAAAAGGCCGAUAACGUGCAAAAGAGAUGUACAUUUUUAAUUAAAA